GUGACAUGAUGAUCCGGUUUAUCCAUUCUCUGAGUGCCGCGGUCGAGUUUCAGUCUGUGCCUCUGGUUCCGUUCUGGAGCAGAGCGUCUCCGCUGCGUUGCCGGAGUUGUCCGGCGUUCUGUCGGACCACGCCCGGGAACGUUGCGGAGAAAUGACUUGACUCGCCACCGGCCAAGAUGAUUUUUUGUUCUGAUCAC